rnacentral:rRNA from 1 species
GACGAACGCUGGCGGCGUGCCUAAUACAUGCAAGUCGAACGCAGUGGGGACGGGUGAGUAACACGUGUGUACCCUCCCAUCAGUAGUGAUAACACUUGGAAACAGGUGCUAAACCGAUACUGAUGGAUGGACCCGCGGUGCAUUAGCUAGGUGGUGAGGUAACGGCUCACCAAGGCCACGAUGCAUAGCCGACCUGAGAGGGUGAGCGGCCACACUGGGACUGAGACACGGCCCAGACUCCUACGGGAGGCAGCAGUAGGGAAUCUUCGGCAAUGGACGAAAGUCUGACCGAGCAACGCCGUGUGAGUGAAGAAGGUUUUCGGAUCGUAAAGCUCUGUUGUUAGAGAAGCGGUAUCUAACCAGAAAGCAACGGCUAACUACGUGCCAGCAGCCGCGGUAAUAC